GCAGUCGACGGUAACAGGAAACAGCUUGCUGCUUCGCUGACGAGUGGCGGACGGGUGAGUAAUGUCUGGGAAACUGCCUGAUGGAGGGGGAUAACUACUGGAAACGGUAGCUAAUACCGCAUAACGUCGCAAGACCAAAGAGGGGGACCUUCGGGCCUCUUGCCAUCGGAUGUGCCCAGAUGGGAUUAGCUAGUAGGUGGGGUAACGGCUCACCUAGGCGACGAUCCCUAGCUGGUCUGAGAGGAUGACCAGCCACACUGGAACUGAGACACGGUCCAGACUCCUACGGGAGGCAGCAGUGGGGAAUAUUGCACAAUGGGCGCAAGCCUGAUGCAGCCAUGCCGCGUGUAUGAAGAAGGCCUUCGGGUUGUAAAGUACUUUCAGCGGGGAGGAAGGGAGUAAAGUUAAUACCUUUGCUCAUUGACGUUACCCGCAGAAGAAGCACCGGCUAACUCCGUGCCAGCAGCCGCGGUAAUACGGAGGGUGCAAGCGUUAAUCGGAAUUACUGGGCGUAAAGCGCACGCAGGCGGUUUGUUAAGUCAGAUGUGAAAUCCCCGGGCUCAACCUGGGAACUGCAUCUGAUACUGGCAAGCUUGAGUCUCGUAGAGGGGGGUAGAAUUCCAGGUGUAGCGGUGAAAUGCGUAGAGAUCUGGAGGAAUACCGGUGGCGAAGCGGCCCCCUGGACGAAGACUGACGCUCAGUGCGAAAGCGUGGGGAGCAAACAGAUUAGAUACCCUGGUAGUCCACGCCGUAACGAUGUCGACUUGAGU
rnacentral:rRNA from 1 species